AAAGGAAAUUAAUAUCGCUGUGAAAUUCACCAGUCGCUUUCUUCGUCCUGCUGAAGCUUCAUUGCUAUUAAUUUCAAAACCCAAACAUGGAAUGGGAGGCGUUACAAUGACUUUUGCUCUAAAAGGCGAAGUCCUCAAUAUUAAAGCAAUUGAAAUUCUUAAAUGUGAAACUCCAUGUUAUCAAUGGAAGCAAGUCAUUGUGCCUUUGAAAAACCCUUUCCCAACUGGUGGAAACUUUAAGAACCGUUUUGAGAAGAAACUACAUGUGUUCACAUUCCUGGAAAUGUAUAAGUAUCAUCAGAUAAAAUAAGACACACAAUGGU